ensembl:misc_RNA 7SK 7SK RNA
GGAUGUGAAGGCUGUCUGGCUGAGACAUCUGUCACCCCAUUGAUCGCCAGGGUUGAUGUAGCUGAUCUGGCUGGCUAGGCGGGUGUCCCCUUCUUCCCUCAUAGCUCCAUGUACUUCCCUUCCAAAGCUGCACACUCCGUCAAAGAGGGCAGACUUCCCUGAAUAGAGAUAGACCAGUCUUGAGAAUAUACCAGUAGCUGUGCUCCCUUGCUAGAACCUCCUUUGCUCUCAAGAAUCCUUGGCUAACAUUACUAUAUAUACUUUAGGAUUCCAACUUC